rfam:TPA: Bos taurus chromosome 6, whole genome shotgun sequence.
UCCCUGGUGGCUCAGAGGUUAAAGCAACUGCCUAGAAUGCAGGAGACCUGGGUUCGAUCCCUGGGUUGGGAA